AUUACUAUAUACGGAGUAAUAGGUAUCAGGGAUUUCAAAAUUAGGGUUUUCAGUGGAAUACUAGCAGUAGUCAAUCGAAAAUGUCGAAUUCGAGUUCGAAGUGGAGGUGGGGCUGAAGGUCGAGAAGUUGCAGAUUAAGGGUAAGCUCUAAUAAGAAUUUAUCAUUACCGGAAGAGUUGUUGGAAGAGAUCCUGGUAAGGCUUCCAGUUAAAUCGCUAUUACGUUUCAGGUGCGUUCAAAAGUCAUGGUCUAUUCUUGCCCAAAACCCAACUUUCAUUGCCAAACACCUCCGCCACCAUCAAACCAAAACAAAAAAUCCAAGUAUUUUGGUCGAGAGCAGGGAUAAAAAGGAGAAUCUUAAAUACCUCUUGCAAUCUCAUCCUGAUGAAGGAGGAGGAGUCCGCAUUGUGGACUUCAAGGGGGACAACAGGGGUCGCUUGAUCACAGUUAGAGAACUGACCAACAUGUUUGCUUGCAUCAACGGCAUUAUUUGCAUUGCUGGUAUAUUCAGAGGCCACUAUGGCUUUGUCUUAUGGAAUCCAGCUAUCAGAAAAGGUGGUUCGAGUUGUCGAACAUAAGAAGAAAUCUGCGGAAAAUUCAAUCACACUACUGCAAUUCUUUUUAUGUUUACUCCCUAAGGGCUGAGUCCUGGACCCAAAUAUUUGGCACCCCUAUUCAUCAUAACAACGCUGCAUUCUUGUUGUAAUGAAAUAUACUUUAAUGGAGUUCAUCAUUGGAUCGGUUUCCUCAACAGCGAACCCGGGGAUAGUUAUGAUCAUCACAUAAUUAUGUACUUUGACAUGAGCCAUGAGGUUUUUCAAAUAAUAAGGUUUCCAGAUAUGUUUUUUCCAAAUAAAACUCUUGAUGUAUUCAAUGAUUGCCUUGCUUGUAUUGUUUAUGGUAUCAAUGAAUACAUCGAUAUAUGGGUGAUGCUUGAAUAUGGGGUCGAGGAUUCUUGGACCAAACAACUUGUUGUAGGACACCUGUUAGGAAUUCAGAGGCCACUACAACUUCUUGGGAAUGAGGAGAUUCUUCCGGUUGAUGAAAAUAAGACAUUGGUCUUGUAUAACAUUGGUUCUCAAGAAAUUAAGAUUCUUCAACG